rnacentral:misc_RNA from 1 species
AAGUCGUAACAAGGUAACCGUAGGUGAACCUGCGGUUGGAUCAUUAAAAAAUAGAGUCUUGGACUCGCACUGAGUUACUUUCGGGUAACUCGGUAAACCCUUGUGAAUUGUUGCACUUUUGUGCUUUACUUUUAUAAAGACUGAAUCAUGAGAUUAAAUUAAAAAAAAACUUUUAACAACGGAUCUCUUGGCUCUC